rnacentral:rRNA from 1 species
GAUGAACGCUGGCGGCGUGCCUAAUACAUGCAAGUCGAGCGAACGGACGAGAAGCUUGCUUCUCUGAUGUUAGCGGCGGACGGGUGAGUAACACGUGGAUAACCUACCUAUAAGACUGGGAUAACUUCGGGAAACCGGAGCUAAUACCGGAUAAUAUUUUGAACCGCAUGGUUCAAAAGUGAAAGACGGUCUUGCUGUCACUUAUAGAUGGAUCCGCGCUGCAUUAGCUAGUUGGUAAGGUAACGGCUUACCAAGGCAACGAUGCAUAGCCGACCUGAGAGGACGACCGGCCACACUGGAACUGAGACACGGCCCAGACUCCUACGGGAGGCAGCAGUGGGGAUUCUUGCACAAUGGGCGAAAGCCUGACGGAGCAACGCCGCGUGAGUGAAGAAGGUCUUCGGAUUGUAAAGCUUUUUUAUUAGGAAAGAAAAUAUUGGAACUAACAUGGGCGCAUCUUGACGGUACCUAAUAAAAAAGCCCCGGCUAACUACGUG